GAUGAACGCUGGCGGCGUGCCUAAUACAUGCAAGUAGAACGCUGAAGGAGGAGCUUGCUUCUCCGGAUGAGUUGCGAACGGGUGAGUAACGCGUAGGUAACCUGCCUGGUAGCGGGGGAUAACUAUUGGAAACGAUAGCUAAUACCGCAUAACAGUAGAUAUCGCAUGAUAUCUGCUUGAAAGGUGCAAUUGCAUCACUACCAGAUGGACCUGCGUUGUAUUAGCUAGUUGGUGAGGUAACGGCUCACCAAGGCGACGAUACAUAGCCGACCUGAGAGGGUGAUCGGCCACACUGGGACUGAGACACGGCCCAGACUCCUACGGGAGGCAGCAGUAGGGAAUCUUCGGCAAUGGACGGAAGUCUGACCGAGCAACGCCGCGUGAGUGAAGAAGGUUUUCGGAUCGUAAAGCUCUGUUGUAAGAGAAGAACGAGUGUGAGAGUGGAAAGUUCACACUGUGACGGUAUCUGACCAGAAAGGGACGGCUAACUACGUG
rnacentral:rRNA from 1 species